GUCCUCGUAGCUCAACUGGACAGAGCGUCAGCUUGCGGAGCUGAAGGUUGGGUGUUCGAGUCACCCCGGGGACACCA
rnacentral:tRNA from 1 species